CCUACGGGAGGCAGCAGUGAGGAAUAUUGGUCAAUGGCCGGAAGGCUGAACCAGCCAAGCCGCGUGAAGGACGAAGGUGCCAAGCAUUGUAAACUUCUUUUGUCAAGGGACAAAAUCAGGCUCGAGAGCCUGACCGAGGGUACUUGAAGAAAAAGCAUCGGCUAACUCCGUGCCAGCAGCCGCGGUAAUACGGAGGAUGCGAGCGUUAUCCGGAUUUAUUGGGUUUAAAGGGUGCGUAGGCGGGCAUUUAAGCCGGCGGUCAAAUGUCGGGGCUCAACCCCGGCCUGCCGUCGGAACUGGGUGCCUUGAGUGGGCGAGAAGUAUGCGGAAUGCGUGGUGUAGCGGUGAAAUGCAUAGAUAUCACGCAGAACCCCGAUUGCGAAGGCAGCAUACCGGCGCCCUACUGACGCUGAGGCACGAAAGUGCGGGUAUCGAACAGGAUUAGAUACCCGUGUAGUC
rnacentral:rRNA from 1 species